AGCAUUUCUGGCGAUCACCCCAAUACACCAGGAUUACUUCCAUCAGUUGCACAGAUGUGGGGAUGCGAGUUUAACUGAAGGUGGUAGAUGCUCAGAUGUAGACAUGGAGGGGUUUCAGCAGCGGUGUUGGAGAACAACUGUGGCAAUCUACUGAGCGAUGAAAAAGAUGCCUGGCAAAUAAAGUACAUUAGUGAAGGCAGCUCCAGAUCUCGUAUUUUUAAUAGCUAAGAUGAACUUCCUAGUCCUCUACAGAAAGGACGGUGGAAAUUCUGUUUGCGUGAAUUGGGCAUGUAUCCUACUUCGUUGAAGUGAAAAUGUGUUUCAGAUGUGUGAGAGUAUUUUCUCUUGAUACUGGUGCAUCACUUUUCUUCCACGGAAGGAGCAGAGCCAGGAGGCAGUGGAUCAGCUGGAGAAGGAAAAGGAGGAGUUGGAAAAUACAUUUUCUGAAGAGCAAGCCGCGCUGAGGGAACAGCUACGGGUUCGUAACAAGACUAUUGGAAUUCUAUCUUCUGAGGAGUCUGAGUUGCAGGCGGCCCUUGCACAUACUCAGGAGGCUGCACGGAAGAAAUCAGGAGAAGCCAAGAGCUUUGCUGCUCAUUUACAUUCAUCUCGCCAGAGGGUAGUGGAGCUGGAACGUACUUUGGCCUCCAUCUCUCUGCAGCAGAAACAGGCAGAGAAGCAUAACGAAGAGUUAAUGAAGGAGCUAGAAGACCUGAAACAGGAGCUGUACAAACAAAGCAAAAGCAGUGAGGAAAUGAAGCUGCAGAAUUUAGAGCUGUCACAGAAGAUUCGCUGCCUGGUUUCCGAGGACUCAGCCUUGCAGUUGUAUAUAAAGGAUUUGCAUGAGGAACUGGACAUGGCUGAACGGAGGAUCCAACAGCUCUCAGGGUCAGUUCACCAGCUCCAGA